UGGCGGACGGGUGAGUAACGCGUGGAAAACCUGCCGUAUACUGGGGGAUAACACUUAGAAAUAGGUGCUAAUACCGCAUAAGCUCACAGCUUCGCAUGAAGCGGUGUGAAAAACUCUGGUGGUAUACGAUGGUUCCGCGUCUGAUUAGCUAGUUGGUGGGGUAAUGGCCUACCAAGGCAACGAUCAGUAGCCGGCCUGAGAGGGUGAACGGCCACAUUGGGACUGAGACACGGCCCAAACUCCUACGGAAGGCAGCAG
rnacentral:rRNA from 1 species